GUUGGAAGAAGGCGAGAAAAGCUGUGUGAAUAGAAGAUAGAGCCCGUACCGCAAACCGACACAGGUAGAUAGGAAGAAGAUUCUAAGGCCAACGGGAGAAGGGUUGUUAAGGAACUCGGCAAGUUGACCCCGUAACUUAGGGAGAAGGGGUGCUCUUUAAGGAGAGCCGCAGAGAAUAGGCCCAAGCGACUGUUUAGCAAAAACACAGCUCUAUGCUAAAUCGAAAGAUGACGUAUAUGGGGUGACACCUGCCCGGUGCCGGAAGGUUAAGAGGAGGAGUGAGAGCUCUGAAUUGAAGCCCCGGUAAACGGCGGCCGUAACGAUAACGGUCCUAAGGUAGCGAAAUUCCUUGUCAGGUAAGUUCUGACCCGCACGAAUGGUGUAACGAUUUGGGCACUGUCUCAACAACCUGCCCGGCGAAAUUGUAGUACCGGUGAAGAUGCCGGUUACCCGCGACUAGACGGAAAGACCCCAUGGAGCUUUACUGCAGCUUAAUAUUGAAUUUCGGUAUUUCAUGUACAGGAUAGGUGGGAGACAGGGAACCAUAGGCGUCAGCUUAUGGGGAGUCGACCUUGGGAUACCACUCUUGAGGUGCUGGAAUUCUAACCUGUGGCUCUGAAUCGAGUCAGGGGACAUUGUUAGGCGGGCAGUUUGACUGGGGCGGUCGCCUCCAAAAAGGUAACGGAGGCGCUCAAAGGUUCGCUCAGCAUGGAUGGAAACCAUGCUUUUGAGUGUAAACGCAAAAGCGAGCCUAACUGCGAGACUGACGGGUCGAGCAGUAACGAAAGUUGGAGUUAGUGAUCCGGCGGUAUGUGAGUGGAAAUGCCGUCGCUCAACGGAUAAAAGCUACCCUGGGGAUAACAGGCUGAUCUCCCCCAAGAGUCCACAUCGACGGGGAGGUUUGGCACCUCGAUGUCGGCUCAUCGCAUCCUGGGGCUGAAUUCGGUCCCAAGGGUUUGGCUGUUCGCCAAUUAAAGCGGUACGCGAGCUGGGUUCAGAACGUCGUGAGACAGUUCGGUCCCUAUCUGUCGUGGGCGUAGGAUAUUUGAAAGGAGCUGUCCCUAGUACGAGAGGACCGGGAUGGACGCACCGCUGGUGCACCAGUUGUCAUGCCAAUGGCACAGCUGGGCAGCUAUGUGCGGAACGGAUAAACGCUGAAGGCAUCUAAGCGUGAAGCCGACCUUAAGAUAAGAUAUCCCUUCGUAAGAGUAAGACCUCUCAUAGACUAUGAGUUUGAUAGGCCUAAGGUGUAAGCACAGUGAUGUGUUCAGCCUGCAGGUACUAAUCGGUCGAGGGCUUUUCC
rnacentral:rRNA from 1 species